rnacentral:lncRNA from 1 species
GAAGCGAGGGAAGCGGGAAUUCAGGGCUGCCUCUUCCAGGAGGCCCGCUGCCGAGAGGCUGAGCGCCGCCGGGGCCACGCAUUCCCAGCAGCUGGGAUGAAGCCUUCCCAGCGAGGAGUUGGAGUUGGGGAUCGAACUCGGGUCCUUGCGCUUGCGCAGCAAGAAGCGAAACCGCUGAGCUAAAUCCCCGGCCCAUAAAACAUCAUUCUUUACAAGAUAUAAAUUAUCCAUAUUGCUCAUAAGAUAAAAGGCAUGUUUUUGUUUCAAGUGCAUAAUCUUCUAAACCAAUAUGUGUGAAAAAUUGUUCUUGGAGCUUAUGAUAUAUAUACUUGAGAUGAAGUGGAUGAUACAGCAGUGACAUUGUGACUGAGGAGUCUGCUCCUCUUCUGAAUAGUCUCAUGAAGAUUCCUGAAUGGGAAAUUGCUGCCAGAAAUUAAAGAAUCUCCAUAAUGAUUUCCAUAGUGGUUGUACUAAUUUACAUUCCCACCAACAAUUUAGAAGGGUUCCUUUUUUCCUGAAAUCACACCUGCAUUUGUUAAUAUUUGAUUUCUUGAUGGUGGCCAUUCUGUCUCAGGCAGGUGGCAGAACCACUGAGCUAAAUCCCGGGCCCGCAACUUGAUGAGUUUUAAAACAAUGGAGUACAAGGUAUGAUGUAUCUUGAAAAUGUAAUGAAGAAAAGCACAGAGAAAUUGUGAGGUAAUCCAGCAGAGAGAGGACAUUUCUUUGCUAUGUGCUAUUUUUCUUCCUUUACUUCUCCUUUGUGCCAACCACUAUUGUUUAUCAAUUUUCUUGUGGAAUCACGAUCAGUUUAUUUGAUUCAUUAUGUGGCUCCUUUUAAUUGUGCUGAUGCCAAAUGGCUUUUGACUCAGCUAUAGGUCCUUUUUGAAUUCCAACAUUUGACUAUACUUUGGGAUACUUCUCUCUCUGUCUGUGUUUCUCUCUUUCUGUCUCUGUCUGUCUGUCUGUCUCUCUCCCUCUCUCUCUCUCUCUCUCCCUCUCCCUCUCUCUCUCCUUCCCCCUCUCUCUCUCCCUCUCCCUCUCUCUCCCUCUCCCUCUUCCUCUCCCUCUCCUUCUCACUGAUACUAGGGAUUGAACCUAGGACCUUCACAUUGAGCUACAUCCCUAGCCUUUAUUUUAAUUUUUUACUCUUGAAACAGGGUUUAGCUAAGUCACUAGAUAACCCAAGCUGAUCCAUCUGCCUCAGCCUCUCAGAGUAAUGGGAUCAUAGACCUGAAGUACCAC